GGUGGGCUGGCGCGCCACGUUCGCCGUGGUCGCGGUGAUCGGCCUGGUCGCCGUCCUGGCGAUCGCGAAGCUGGUGCCGCACCAGGGCCGCCCC
rnacentral:tRNA from 1 species